UGACCAGGAAGCUGCCAAAAGGGACAUGGA
rnacentral:piRNA from 1 species